ACGCCUUGCAGGACGUCACAGCUGCUGUAACCCGCGAGAGUGACAGGCGGCUGCUGGGACCCACAGAGACUCUCUGCAUGGAGCAUCGCGGGCGUCAGCAUUGCACACAUCACUGACGUUUCCUGCCUGAUGUGUUUAUAACCCCCCAGGUUUAACUCUUCAUGUCACAGUCGGGUCUCACUGGCACAGAGACNCAGGGAACCAUGAGCUUCAUCACCAUCAUCAUCUCAGCGCUCGUCUUCUGCAGUCAGGGAUCCAGAGGACAGAUCACAGUGACUCAGACUCCUUCAGUGAAAUCUGCUCUCCCAGGCAGCGCAGUGACCCUGAGCUGUAAAACCAGCACUUCCAGUGGCCUUAAUGGCUACUUGCACUGGAUCCAAUUUAAACCUGAAGAGGCUCCCAAAGGCUUAAUAUAUAAAAUAAGCAAUCGCAACACUGGGAUUCCAACGCGGUUCAGUGGAUCUGGAUCUGGGACUGACUUCACUCUACAGAUCAGUCAAGUUCAGCCUGACGAUGCAGCUGAUUACUACUGUGUGGCUGACUAUGGUGCUCCAAACAUCAUCUUCGGGGGGGGCACGAGGCUUGAUGUUGGAAAAACCACUGUCCCGACCCUCACAGUGCUGCCCCCUUCUGGCCAGGAGCUCUCCACCCACGAGGGAAUCUCCCCAGCACCUGCCGAAACCUGCUCCUCUAUUCUCGGAGCCCGUGGGUCACACUAA